rnacentral:lncRNA from 1 species
ACACACCCACCUCUUCAGGGCAGGCCUUUCUGGAAGGGUCUGAGGUGCAGGGACUCCAACCUGACAAGCUAUGUCCGUAGGGCAGGCACUUCCAGGGCACCAUGGGUAAGUGCACAGCAGUUCAAAGGGAGACGUCAGGAAUCUUACAGCCUAGGGCCAGGUGAACAGAGACUGGCUGCCACAGGUGCAAGUGGGGGACAGUGGAGUGGUGCAGAAAGAGACUCCUUAAAGGUGCAUUCUUUAGCCAUACCCUCCAGUGUUUCAAGCCUCAAGUUAGAAAUGCCAGAGACUUCCGUUAUUAUGGGGCCCUGUAGUCCAUUUCUUACGAUUUGUAAACAAAGGAAGUUUACUCGCUGGUCCGGAGGCUGGAAGCUCAAGGGCAUGGCCCUUGGAAAGAACAAAGUGCUGCUUCUACACGGGGCAGAGAGUGGAGGGAUGAGUGGAGCGGAAGAGACAAAGCAGGAGAGCUACCACACCACGGCAUACCAGCAUGCUCUCGUGACCUCAAAAAAAAAAAAAAAAAAAA